UACGUAGGGUCCGAGCGUUGUCCGGAAUUAUUGGGCGUAAAGGGCUCGUAGGCGGUUUGUCGCGUCGGGAGUGAAAACUCAGGGCUUAACCCUGAGCGUGCUUCCGAUACGGGCAGACUAGAGGUAUGCAGGGGAGAACGGAAUUCCUGGUGUAGCGGUGGAAUGCGCAGAUAUCAGGAGGAACACCGGUGGCGAAGGCGGUUCUCUGGGCAUUACCUGACGCUGAGGAGCGAAAGCAUGGGGAGCGAACAGG
rnacentral:rRNA from 1 species